CUGCAGUUUAACAACUAUAACGUUUCUAGUUUUCAAUAGUUCAGAAUGGAUUCAAUUGUUGAAACGUUCAAGAAUAUUGUCAAGUCCGGAACCGACCUACUGCAGCAGUUGUUCAACGUGACGGCGGCUCCGAUUCUGCAAAAGUUCCAAAAACCAACCGAGAACCCACUGGCGGAAUGGAUCUUUUAAGUUCAGUAAAAGGCAUUUCAUAAAAAAAUUAACCCGGAUGCCAAUUCGACCAUAACCUAUGUUGCUCGGAAAUUGUUUCGAGUAUUGUAUAUAUGACGGUAAGCCAUCUAACUACUCCAUCUAUUAAUUUCCAUUUAUUGAUUGUUGGAAGGUUUUCUGGUAGAACAUGCUGUAGAAGUUAUCCAUCAAACUUAAAAAACAAACAAAAGGUGCGCAAAAGAUAAGAUCAAAAACUUUAUUUUGUACAUUUAGCCACAAUUCCCAACAUUUUGGAUAUUUUAACACGAAAUUGGAAAUAGUGGACUGAGGUAAGGUCACAUGUGCUUUCAAGCCCCUUAAACAGAGAGCGACAUAGAGAGAGAAUGCAAUUCGCGAGUGAAGCAGGUAGUUAUCUCAAAUUUGCAAAGAAAUAAACAGAAGGCAGUGUGGAGUGUUUAAGCUA